rnacentral:misc_RNA from 1 species
GAAAUGCGAUAAGUAAUGUGAAUUGCAGAAUUCCGUGAAUCAUCGAAUCUUUGAACGCACAUUGCGCCCUCUGGUAUUCCGGGGGGCAUGCCUGUCCGAGCGUCAUUGCGAACCCCUCAAGCACGGCUUGUGUGAUGGGCCCUCCCGCGUCUUGGUCGUCAAGACGGGCCCGAAAUGCAGUGGCGGCUUCGCGGUUAUCCGAUCAGCCAGAGCGUAUGGGGACUUUCUCUCUGUCACACGCCCGCGGCGCGGACCGACGCCUGUCGACCUUCAUUCAUCGUUUUCUCGGUUGACCUCGGAUCAGGUAGGGAUACCCGCUGCACUUAAGC